ensembl:snRNA U6 U6 spliceosomal RNA
CUGCUCGCUUCAGCAGCACAUAUACUAAAAUUGGAACGAUACAGAGAAGAUUGGCAUGGCCCCUGCACAAGGAUGACAUGCAAAUUUGUGAAGCAUUCCAUAUUUAA